CGCUGACUCCAGUGGAUAACUAAACCAGUGAACACAGUUGGAAAGACGAGUAAAGCAACAUUCUUUCUGAGUCCAGAUUCAAGGUACUAGAAUAGUAGUGGGACAGCUCAACUGUAUGAUAUACACGGAGCAACUGGAGUCCUAAACGAAUGCAGGAUCACACCUAGCACUAUCCUAACAAUAAACCAAACCUUGGUGACAUGCAUAUUAGCAUUUUUCAGAAUAAAUUUUAAUCCUUGUUU